rnacentral:rRNA from 1 species
AUUGAACGCUGGCGGAAUGCUUUACACAUGCAAGUUGAACGGCAGCACGGACUUCGGUCUGGUGGCGAGUGGCGAACGGGUGAGUAAUGUAUCGGAACGUGCCCAGUCGUGGGGGAUAACGUAGUGAAAAUUACGCUAAUACCGCACACGAUCUAUGGAUGAAAGCGGGGGAUCGCAAGACCUCGCGCGAUUGGAGCGGCCGAUAUCAGAUUAGGUAGUUGGUGGGGUAAAGGCCCACCAAGCCAACGAUCUAUAGCUGGUCUGAGAGGACGACCAGCCGCACUGGAACUGAGACACGGUCGAGACUCCUACGGGAGGAAGCAGUGGGAAGUUUUAGACAAUGGGCUAAAGUCUGAGCCAGCCAUUCUGCGAGCAGGAUGAAGACCCGCGGGUUGUAAACUGAUUUUGUGCAGAACGAAAAGGUUUCUACUAAUACUAGGAGCUCAUGACGGUACUGUAAGAAUAAGCACCGGCUAACUACGUGCCAGCCGCCGCGGUAA